GCGCGUACUGGAUACACAAGCCAGAAAGCAGUUUGCGCGCUACAGAACUGAGGAUGAACCUAUGUCCUGCAGGUUUGGGUCCAUCUAUAAUUCAAACUUUUAAAUCUCAAUGGACAAGAAUAUUAUCUGCAGAUGAAGACUUAUUUUCUGAGUUGGAAACCAUACAGAACUAACCACUGGCUCUACUGCUGCCAUGGAAAAAUAUCAAUAAUUUACAUUUGUUCCAAAGGAAAGAAGAAGCUGUAUUGAAAUCAAUUGCUACAGAGUUGUGUGAAAGCAGAUUGUCAGGUCCUUUUGAUUCACCCCCUUGAGAAUCUUUUAGAAUGCCCCAUUGGUUCCAAAAAAAAAAAGAAGCCAAAUAUUGAUUGCUUCACCAUUUACCUUUCCUAGAUGGAUUUUCAUUCAAAGCUUAUUCUAACAAAGAAUUGUCACAAGUUUAAUAUGUCUCCCUUGAUGAGGUGGCAUCUGUCAUCAGUAAGUUGCCGAUGCAAGGCUCAGCAAGUUAGACAUUUAGUCAGCUUUCAGGUUAUUACCAAUUUGGGGAACAAGACUGCCUUAUGCUUGGGUUUGCUUCCAAGGGAAGUAUUUGUUUGACAAGGUGAUGAUGAUGGGUUAAUCAACUGCUUGUUCUUCUUUUGAAACCUUCAGUAUAGCACUCAAUUGGUGUUGGCAAACAGAUCUCCCAAAGCCAUACAUUGCCAAGAGAGGACAUGGAAUAAUUUAACAAUUUAUGCCAGGAUAUGGGGAUUUCUUUGUCUCCAGAUAAGAUCUCAGACCCUUCAAGACUGAUCAAUUCCUUGGGUUUUGAUAUUGAUGAUGAUUUAGCCUUUAGACUAACAUGUGCUAAGACUUAACAGCUGAAGCUUUUGAUAGAUGAGUUCUUAUAAACCCGAAAGAUAAGGGUAUGUAAAGUGGAAGUAGCAGAGUCAAUGGAAAAAACAUAGGUAAAACCUUGAAUUAAAAUUGAAGCCAUCACAUCAUUGUGGUAAUCCCUGAGCUCUUACUGUAAUACAGAGACUAUAACCUGCAUGUUUGUAUUAGGCUGGAACUUCAUGGCCUUUUUAACUUUACAUGCCAGGCAGUCACCUCAGUUGGGACAUUUUCAAGAUUAAUUUCAAAUCUCUUGAGUAGGUGAAAGCCAAACAUCAUUGAGUAUGGGUUAGGGGCAGAGUCAAAUAGGAUUUGUAUUUAUGAAAUGUUUUCUUGUCAACUUUUAAUGAGGACUCUCUGUGACAGAAUGAUUGGACAACCUCCGGUACUCCAAGGUUAUAUACAGAUGCAGCAGCAAGCAAGGGUAUUGGAGCAUUUUUUCAGGGCUGUCAGUUUCCUGCACUAUAAUCAUUUUCUUGGCCAUAGGACAGGACGUUGGACUUCCUUGAAAUGAUCCCCAUUUGGGUGGCUACCCUAUUAUCGAAAAAACAUUUUAGGAAUAGUAAGAUGGUAAUUUUAUUUUAUUUUAUUUUUGAUAACCAGUUGGUGACUGUGAUUUUGAUAAAAAAAGUGUUCUUAUUAGAUUUGGGUGAAGUUAAUUUUGAGACUUUUGGUAUGUUUGAGCUUAUAAAUCAAUUUGACAUUUUCAGCUAAACAUGUUUCUGGAAAAGACUAUGCCAUUGGCAAAAGUUUAUUCCAUUUACAUAUCUGCAAAUUUCCAGAUAUCAGUAACUCACACUGAUACUGGAGGAAGUUUGAUUAGUUGGACAGGAUUGGCCUUGAAUUUACUAACUGUAUUUGGGCUCUGAAAAAUGGGAAGUUUUACUCAACGGCACUUACUUCCUUUAAGAAAUUUUACUUCAAUUUACCCUGGUCUAUUACAGUCAUCAUCCAUUACCUAAUUCAUCAAUGUUUAUUGCAAGAAGCAGUAUAUACCAUGUGUAUAUGUUUAUCAGCUAUAGCAUGGUUGGCCAGGUUAAUUGGUCUCCUUGAGUUCACCUGCCACUGAUUGGUCAAUGGGGUUUUCAAAGGGUGGGUGAAUAAUAAGGGUGCUCUUUCAGACCCCAGAAGACCUAUAAGUAUCUCAUUGCUAGCCACUAUCAACCUUAAAGUUUGGGCUAUGACCAAUACCCUUCACACUUUCAUAGUCUGGUUAACACUUUUCACAUGGUUAGAUGCAGGUGCUUUUACAGUCAGUGAGUUAUUGCAAGAGUUAUACUAGGAUGACCAGGUCAUUAUACGGUUGAAGAAAUGCAAACCAAACCAAUCCAGUCAAGGUCAGCAAUUAGGUUUAGGCAAGUUGGAUGCAUACAAAAUGUCUCUGGUACACUGCACUAAGGCUUUACAUUAUGUAAAUGGGUAAAUUAUUUUGCCAACUUUUUUUGAGCAUCCUACAGGAGACUUAGCUACACUCAGGGAAGCAAAUUAUGGUGUUACUGGCUUAAGGAAUGCCACCUCACAUGUAUUUCCCUCCCAUUCAUUCAGACUUGGCAGAACCUCCAAUUUAAAUCAGUAGGGUCAUUCUGUUAAAAUGCCUUUUUUACCUAUAUUAGAAGCUAAUUUGAUCUUUUCUUUUUCAGACAGGAAACAACUGGUGAUGAUAGUUCAUUCUUACAUUGCAAAGGAGUUCUAAGGGCAGAAGUAUGUGAGAAUGGCUAAAGUGUUAGUUAAACCCCUCACAAUCGUCUCAAAGUUGUAAGUGUUUUCCUGGCCUCUCUUGAUUUCUACUUUGGGAAGCUUUUGGAACGUCACUUCAUGGUAUUGAGCCACAAGCAGUAGUUAUUCAUUUGAUGGCAAUGAUUUAAUGCAGGUACUAAAAAAAGAUUUUAUUAGCCAGGAUUUUGUCUGAUUUAUCUUCACUUGGAUUACGGUAUCCAAGUAUAAAAGUAUUUUGGUCUGCCAUUUUUUUCAAGGAUCUAAUGGAUUAGUGCAUAAAAGCCAUUAGCAAUUGAGCUGUCCAGCAGAUAUGGAGCAGCAUAAUUUACAGGAAUUUUCAAUACUGAACAUUCAAACUUUGCAAAUCUAGAGAUUUUUAUGACUUUACCAGGGCUCAUUUAAAUAAAUUUGGGUUUAAUUUUCUCAAUUUGCACCUAGUCAGUGCCUUUCAAAUGCACUAUGUUAUGCUAUUUAAUGAGUUACGUACAUAAAACAUAUCUAAGGCUCAAUUUUUGAAGUUAAUUUUGCAAUCAUUUUAGUAUGGUGUUCAGGUUAACAUUCAUAGUCAACAUAUUAAUUGCAUCAGUUCAUGUAGCCUGCUGAUGAAGAGGGAACAACAUGCUCCACAUGCUGGUGAAUGGUUGCUUUGCAGCCUCAACCCCAAAUGAGCCCCCCCCCCACCUUGGUUUUCAUAAGUUCCUAUUCUGGGUUGAUGUGACAGGUAAUAACACUAACCUGCAAUAAUGGUACACAACUUGAGGUCCGCCAAUCUUACUGUCUUGCCAGCUAUUUGUGGUGAGGUCAGCAGGAUACAGACCUGUAUGGGUUGAUACCAUCAAGGACCCAAGCAGAUAUGGUGCACAUCAGUUAUCAGGACAAAAUGGGCAGGGUAAUUCUGACUGGCCACAUGUAGAGGAAUUUGGAGUUGAAUAUAUAUGUUAUGAAAUGUGUAGUUCAUACAAGUAAUGUUCAAUGUUAUAUGUUGUCUUCACUAUGAUCUAAUAAAUGGUUGCACUGGCA